rnacentral:rRNA from 1 species
UUGAACGCUGGCGGUAUGCUUAACACAUGCAAGUCGAACGGAAACGAUACUAGCUUGCUAGUAGGCGUCGAGUGGCGGACGGGUGAGUAACGCGUAGGAAUCUGCCUGAUAGUGGGGGAUAGCCCGAAGAAAUUCGGAUUAAUACCGCAUAAUCUAUUCGUAGUAAAGUGGGGGACUUUCGAGCCUCACGCUAUCAGAUGAGCCUGCGUAAGAUUAGCUUGUUGGUAGGGUAAAAGCCUACCAAGGCGACGAUCUUUAGCUGGUCUGAGAGGAUGAUCAGCCACAUCGGGACUGAGACACGGCCCGAACUCCUACGGGAGGCAGCAGUGGGGAAUAUUGGACAAUGGGGGCAACCCUGAUCCAGCAAUACCGCGUGUGUGAAGAAGGCCUGAGGGUUGUAAAGCACUUUCAAUUGUGAAGAAAAGUUAGCGGUUAAUAACCGUUAGCCUUGACGUUAACUUUAGAAGAAGCACCGGCUAACUCCGUGCCAGCAGCCGCGGUAAUACGGAGGGUGCAAGCGUUAAUCGGAAUUACUGGGCGUAAAGCGUGCGUAGGCGGUUUAUUAAGUCAGAUGUGAAAGCCCCGGGCUUAACCUGGGAACUGCAUUUGAAACUGGUCAACUAGAGUAUGGUAGAGGAAAGUGGAAUUUCUGGUGUAGCGGUGAAAUGCGUAGAUAUCAGAAGGAACAUCAAUGGCGAAAGGCAGCUUUCUGGACCAAUACUGACGCUGAGGUACGAAAGCGUGGGUAGCAAACAGGAUUAGAUACCCUGGUAGUCCACGCCGUAAACGAUGAUAACUAGCCGUUGGGGGGAUUUACCCUUUAGUGGCGAAGCUAACGCGUUAAGUUAUCCGCCUGGGGAGUACGGCCGCAAGGUUAAAACUCAAAGGAAUUGACGGGGACCCGCACAAGCGGUGGAGCAUGUGGUUUAAUUCGAUGCAACGCGAAGAACCUUACCUGGUCUUGACAUCCUGCGAACUUUCUAGAAAUAGAUUGGUGCCUUCGGGAACGCAGUGACAGGUGCUGCAUGGCUGUCGUCAGCUCGUGUCGUGAGAUGUUGGGUUAAGUCCCGUAACGAGCGCAACCCCUAUCCUUAUUUGCCAGCACGUCAUGGUGGGAACUAUAAGGAGACUGCCGGUGAUAAACCGGAGGAAGGCGGGGACGACGUCAAGUCAUCAUGGCCCUUACGACCAGGGCUACACACGUGCUACAAUGGGAAGGACAAAGAGCCGCGAAGCCGCGAGGUGUAGCUAAUCUCAUAAACCUUUUCGUAGUCCGGAUUGGAGUCUGCAACUCGACUCCAUGAAGUCGGAAUCGCUAGUAAUCGUAGAUCAGAAUGCUACGGUGAAUACGUUCCCGGGUCUUGUACACACCGCC